AACAAUAAUUAUUUUUAUCUUUUAAAAUAUCCAAUCGAUUUUUUUUUACAAAUCUGCCAUAUAUUAUUUUUUUUAUUAUCAAAUGAACAUCAUCUAUCGGAGCAGAAUAUCUCAAUGGGAAGCCCAGUGGCUGAAAUAACGAGAUUGGUGUCAUCUCGAGCUUUCGUUUCGUUGCCGCGGCUGCAUGGCGCUGUCCGUGGUGCUGCUGACCGCUGUCCGUGGUGCUGAAACCUCUCUCCCACUCACAACCAACGGCGUCCGCUUGCUGUGGUUUCCCCGUUCGCCUCGUCGUGACGCGCACCAAUCAUCGCCCGCUCCGUGUAAUACGAGCGGUGGGCGCUUAAUAGCUACCAAUAGGGAACUGUUCGCAUGCCAAUUUUUUGUUUGUUUAAACUGUUCAUCAGAAAUUUUUUUUUUCUUAUCAGGCCCCAUGGAUGUACUCUGAAUUUUGCUGUCUGAAACUCUUACCCAAUCUUAUGUCUCUGCUAUGAAGAAGGACCAUUUCCCAAAACGUCGCUUAUUAUGUUUUUUUUUUACAUUUCAAGGUCACAGCGUUAUUCGCGAAUGUGUUGAGUUUUGUUGUUGUUGUUAUUAUUUUUUGUUAUUCGUGCUCCUGAACCAAUGCCAAUGCAGUAUCACCAAAUCAUCUGCCGGACGAGAGCGUCGUGGGGGCUGGUCAGUGCGGGUAUGAGGUGGUCGGUGUGUAUAGGAUGCGGGAGCAUACAAAGUACGUUACAACAAUGGAUUAAUCUGCACUGCCAUGUCGCCCGGCAGACGAUGCCAACCGUUGGUGCAUUCGUGGUCCCCCCAUCCGAAUACUAUUUUGGCUCUAGCCUGCUUAGCUUCCGAGGACCUGGCACGCAUAGUCAAUGGCUUGCCUAUGCAAAUACUGUCUUAGAAUUGACUGUACAAUAGUACAAUAGUUUGUAGUAUCCGUAUAUGCGUGGUGAACGCUGGUGUGCACAAUAGCGCAGCGGUGAAUGUCAGCUGAACACCGCCUGAAACACCUCUAAGCCGACUCGGCAUGAAACUGGUACCCGAUCACUCUUCUUGUCACCGUCGUCACUCGAACGACACAUGAGGCUGUGCGUGUGCGUAGCCCGGUAGGCUGGAAAGGGUGUAAUCUUUCGUCUUAAUAUCCGCGCAAUUGACAAUUGAUUCACCUUUUCCCCCAUUAAUUCUCAAGGCUGUUUACGUUACACUAGCAGAGCAAUUGGCUCAUUUGCAAGCGAGGAAACAAUGUUCGCGACACGCAAGGUGAUACAUGCAAUCAAGAGGUGAUCCGGACCGACCCUGCGGGGCAACGCCGCAGCUGCUGUGAGUGUGUGCGCCGGGGGCAUCUGAUGGAUGCCCCCGGACCAGCGAAUCGAGUUAUUUAAUCAGCUUUUGGCGGCUUCGAAUUGGAUUCACUGGUUGUGGCGUGGAGUUUGAAAGGGGGGGGGGGGAAACAAGACGACCGCGGUGUUCAGUAAGUAAAUAACUAAACAAGUGAAUGCGCAGAGGCAGGGAUUUUCCGCCGUGUUGAGUGCGAUGUUGGAACGCUUUGUGCCUGCCUGACGGAGUGGCGAAGCAUCGCAGAGAGAUAUCUUAAAUGGGCGUGAGGUAGGUGGUGGAGACGCGGGGCUGGGAAACUAAAAAGUUGCACGUUUCAGUAGCUGCGAGGGAAAUAAGAAAAUGCUGAUGCAGAUCGCAGGAUGCCAGAAAAAUUAACAAAAUAACUCAGCCAGUCUGCAGAUGCUGCACGUUCCCUUUUUGACACAAGUGUCAUACCGUGGUGGAGUGUUGGCGCAAGUGGGCUAGCACACUCUGCAGCAAACCCGGCGACCUGAGUUCAAUUCCCGGCCACAGAAAACGUCAGCGGUGACUCAUAAUAUCUUGAACCCUAUGUUGGGUAACCCCCACCACCCCCCCCCCCCCAACCUAUUUAUUUUCAUCAACUUGAAGUUUGGUCAAGCAAACCGCAUAAGGAGGCCAUCAUCCAGCAUUAGAUUGACAAAGGGCUGUAAAGUGUUUUGUAUGUAUGUAAUUCUUUAUACUUCAAUUAAACGCAAUGUAUUUAGUUUGAACUUCUUUCACACCGUACGUAGCCAAUCGUAGGUGUUAUAAACACUACUCUGAAUACGUUAAUAGAUGGAUGAAUUCUGAGAUUGGCUUCUGUAAGCAGUGCAAAUGAAGGCAUGCUUGUAAUUUGUAAAAGGAGUCGUGACAUUUUUAGCCGCUUUGUCAUUUUUGUACAACGUUUGUAUCUUAUUUACUUGUGUAUAUUUUUUUCUGAUUUCCCCUUGCUAAGGGAACCAUGUGUCUCAAUGGACUCUCACAUAGUUGUAACUACAGGUUUGAUGUCCUUGGCACAUACCGAAAUUUUCAGAAAAUGCCAGUAUGCAACCAAGAUAGAAAGGAAGCUACUCAGGUAUGCGGAAGAGGCAGGUAAAUAUAUAUCUUUUUUAUUUUAAAUUACAGCUUAUGUUUUGCUCAAUGUAAAACCACAUUUCAUAGAGUAGUCACUCGUGUUCCGGUUUCCUCUGAGAUGUAUAACACUGGUUAAUCGACUGAAAAUGUCUUUAUAUAUAUGUGUGUAGAAGACUGCAGAGCUCUGGAAAAUGCUGCCGCUGGCUCUGGCUGCCAUCUCCCUGGGUUUAUGGUUUCCCGCACCACGAACGAAAACUACGGAGAGCGCCAUAAAUGUAUUUUUACUAACCUUGUUGGGACUUCACAGUAAAGUGGAACCAUCAUCGCAUGUUGUAGUGCAUGAUGCUGAGUGACAAUAUUGCCUUGGGCAUAUUGGAGUCCUUAAAAAGUAAAUGAAAUAAGCCCAGUAGCAUUUGUCCAAUUUGAACAUAUUGGACAUUUUCACGCGACCUUUCGUACGUCCCCUUGUCACUUUUCACACCGCAUGGAAGAGCGGCAAAUCUCAGACGCUUCUCGCGGAAUGCAAUGUGCGAGUGGAAUGCAGGAGGUGGGAAUUGUGUUGCUGUUCGUGAUGUGCGCUCAGGUUAAAACACCGGGGAAAAAUCUACGUUGGCAGCGUCUCAUUAAAAUGCAUCGGCAGGGCAUGUCCUAUUCCACACGUUCCGCGCGUUGCGAGCAAAAUCCACAACGUAGCCAGGAAUAUGACAGCAGGGUUCCCACAGAGACAAUUCCACACAUUCGCACACUUGCAACACGAGGGCUGUUGUACUUUUAAUCGAGGACGAACUCCAAAGUCUGGCUGAGCUGCUAGCUGUUUUCCUUGGAUUAAUAUUAACGCAGAGCCGUCGCCCGCUUGCAUAAAUGGCCUGAAUAAUGGAGUUGAGCAGAAUCAGAAUCACAAUCAGAGUAUGUAUUGACACUGGAGGAAUCCGAUGAGCUAUAAAGCUUGCAUUCAUCGUUGUCCAGUAGAGGCGGGUAAGAACGUUACGACAACAAACUGUACAAAACAUGACAAUAGUGCAAAGUACAAGAGAAGUAAACAAAUCACCCACACACAAACAAAUACAACACAAAACCAUCCCAAUCCUACCAAGAAAAGCCCACUGGAGGUUUUCACUUAUUUUUCAGAAGCAACCUGGUCACAAGUGAUAUCUCAACAAAGUGGCCCAUCGUUUGUUCAUUGAUAGCACCAAAAUAAUCGAAAUAAUCUGAACGCUUGUUUGAAUGAGAUGAAUAUCGUUACCUUUGCCUACGACCAGGUCACACGGAAUGCGCACGAUCUCAUAAGAUCUCAGAAGCUAAGCAGUGUUGAGCAUGGCUGGUGCUUGAAUGGGUGACCGCUGUGAACAGCGUGUUGCUAUAGGCUGCUGUGCGGCGAGGAGCAGAGAGCAUUACAUCCAAAUCCAUGGUCUCACUGUAGUUUCUUGAAACCCAAGUCUAUGCUCGCUGCCUUGAAGCAUCCUGCAACCUAUCAGCGCGGUGGAAUGUGGUCAAAUAACCCCCACGGCCAUCGAUGUGUGGAGAGGCUCUCACCCAGCAGCCGGCCGGUAGAAGGGCAGUUUCAUCUUCUCGUCCAGUCGGAGACGUCAUGCAGCCCGGGGUGCUUAGAGAGAGAGCCCUUGUCAGCUGUGUCCAAUUAAUGUGAAAAGUAUGAGAACCUAUAAAUAAUUUAAUUAACUGACAUGGGUACAUACGACACAGCUGUUCUUGGGUGGGUGUGUGGGGGGGAAGAAGAUUUCGUCCGCUUUGUGUUUGCUAUUCACGUUGAAAAUUCGGAACGAGCCCCUCCUCGUGUGCUUGCUGGACAUGCGAGGCAUGCGCAACUUGGCGCACCGGGGUCCGAGCGCUCACCGUCCUUACCCAAGCGUGCCGGCAGCUGUUUAACGUGCGCCGCAUAGCCCGCGCACAAGUGGAAAAAUUCCGCCGGCAUGGAACGCCGAGCCGCAUCGAGGCCCCCUGAAGGAACGGGGUUUUGCUGCCCCUGCAAUGUGCUAGAAAUUGGGAACGAAAGAAAAAGGUGGCGUAGCUCUCCCUGAGCCGUUUGCAGCCUCAGCAUCUGCCAGGGUCACUUUCACGAGACGCGUUCCGUCUGUUCGAUGCCUUUGGCUGGAAAACCAUUACGUGACGUCUGCAAAAAUAAUAAUAAUGGUUCAAGCUUCCCGAUUGAAUCGCCUAAAAUACCAGAGGCUGAACAUCACGGAGAUGGACUGACACGGUACUGGGUAUGAUCUUUUGAAAAGAGAAGUGACAGCUCCUGGCAGCUUCCCGUAGGUAAUAGAGGGAGGAUGAUGAGACAGUGCUCACAGACAACAAAGUGACAACGUACAAGUCACGAUCUGUUCAUCGGCGAAGCUUUUAAGAAGCACGGCCCCUGCACGAUUACUUUGGUACCGGCUUUUGUUGCAUUGCAGGACCACGCGAGAUUUUUAUCGGCUUGGGGAGGAAGGGGAGGUCUUCAUGCAGCAGUGGCUUGAUCAUGGCUAAUGGUAAUGAGUGGUUUGUGAGAGAGGGUAUGAGUGAUUGGGGGGUGAGAGGGAGGUUCGAGAACAUGUGUCUGGGUCGUGUGUCACGGUGGUGUAGGAGUGUGUGGGUUAUUAAAUUAUACAAAUGCAUCCCCCCUUUUUCUUGCACUGAGAGCAUCCAUCACUAGUCAAUGCCAAGCACGGACGCGCGCCCAGGCUUUGAAAGAUGCAUGCGUGACAGAUGUCCAGGUGUUGGGGCUCACGGAGCUUUGUGCGAGCAGAUGUUGGGGUGCGUGAGCACGUGCGUGAAUUUGGGAGCAUUUGGUCAGGGUAGGCCAAAGCUAUUGAGUCACCCGGCAAUGUUCCUGAGACUUUCUCACCCACCCCCCGGCUUCAUUUACCUGUGUGUCUCGCAAUGAUUCACGCAUCGCGCUGAGGAGCACAACGUGUGUCCACAAACAAUUCGCUAUUAUGGCUAUUGACUUAUGCAAAGCAUUGAGAUCAAAGACUUUACAAAUACAUUUCUGGCGAUUCUGAUUUUUCUAAAAUACGCUUCAUGGUUUGGUUUGUUUCUUUGCCGUUUAAUAACGCAUAACUGUGACAUCUUACCCCAAUCGAAGGAUACUUAGGGGUCGCUGCAGUGGUCCUUAUUUAAGCGUCCUUAUUUUAAAUAAGGACUAUGGUUUUUACAAGGGCCACCCGAAUGUGUAUACAGGGUGCUUUAAAAAAAUAUUAACACUUCCGAGAAUUUGCAACAACCCCACGUGACACGUGCUGCCUCCUCCGAGCUCUGGAGACCACCUGGAGAAGAUUCCAGGCCACGUGUUGACAACGAUGGCGAACAAGUGGGAGACUCUUUGAAGCUAUUAACAUUACAUUUGUUAUCAUGUUACAGUGUAUAUUAUCAUACUUUUUUCCAUUAAAAACGAUAGUCCAAUGUAAAUGUUAACAUUUUUUUAAAAGCACUCUGUCUAUAGAUUACUUAUGCGUGUGAUUAUAACGCUUGGCUGAUGCACACAAGGACGUGAAUACCUCUUUGAAGAGCAGCAAUUCAAUUGCGCUCACAGCCUCUUAAAAAUGAACUCAUGCGGUUUCCACGAUGCCUUCGACAGAAUUACGGCGGGGGAUGAUGCUGAUGAUGACGACGACGAUUGAUGUAAAUGACAAAGAUGACAUUGGGGAGGGGGGGGGGGGGGUUGGUCUUCGGAGAGGCACUCUGCACCAUGUCACUGAGAGGGCUGCGUCACAUUGUCCCUACAAAUAGUUUUAAGACUUUACCCCACCCCCACUCUCCCCCCCUCCCCCGCCCUUCCCAAAUCGUGUUUUUGGGCACAUCACCAACGUGGUGUCUGGAGAUGGAGGGAGUCGUUCGAAAAUCUCACGGAGCGUGUUGGAGAACGGCCCGGGGGAGCGAUUUUGGUCCAGAUGUCGGAGAACACUCCUUGAUUCAUGGCCUCGCUGUCCUUUGCACAGGACGAGGUGAAUUUCCCCACACGCUCUGCUGUGAGACUGUUUGGCAGUAUGACGGUGAAACUGAUAGUAUUAAAAUGUUUUUGUCGUACUCGGGGCUGAGAUAUCGACCCAAAUAAAAUCUGAAUGUCUUUUUUUGGUGUUUCGGUCCAUCCAUUGUUGACGAAACUGAGACCAUCGACUCUCUGCGCCAGAAAAAAAAUUCACGGUUUAAUCACGGGCGGUUGCAGCCUGGACUCCAAAUGGAGUAUCUCAUACUAUUUGGUUAUUUCGGUAAAGUCAGGUAGAUAUAAAUAAUAACUAAUAUUGGAGAGUCUCAGUCGCGCCAGCUCGGGAACCUGAGAGCGAGCCGGUCACAUCUCUAUUUGCGAACGGUUUUUGAAAAAAAAAAACGCUUACCGCCGGUUACGGGAAAUCAGCUUCUGCACGUCCGCACAAUGCGCCAAUGCUCCACAUCUUCACGCGUUCAAAGGUGGGGGCACUUUCAUUUUGCGCGAUUUUAGCGACCGACGUGAAACGAAACCGGAUUCGAGCGGUUGCUCCCUACAAGUCCUCGAAUGUGCCCGUCCGCACGGUGCCGCUGGGGGUUUUGUUGUUGUUGUUGUUGUGAAUCCGACGCAAUGCAGCCGCCCACGUGGUCUCGUGCACGAUGAUGGAUGGACAGCGACGGGGCGCCUCUCGGUAGAUCCUCUGAACGAGACGGGGUGAGCCACCCGGGCUCAGCAAGGGGGUGGGGGGGGGGGGGCGUUACGAGCUGGUCCCUAACUGACAGCAGCUGCUCCCCAUGCCUCAGGGUCCGUCAUAGAAAAGGAGACAUCUCGAAGCCUGCCCUUGCUAAAAAAAACAAAAAACGAAAAUCCGAGUGCAAAUGGCUCGCUAAGUGUGUACAAGUGCGUGUGCGUGCGUGCGUGUGGUCGUGUUUGUGUGUGUCUGUGUGUCCUUUGUGUCUGUGUGUGGAGCGGUGGUGAAUUGCUUUGCGCACCAAACUAAGAACCCGGCGGGCACGAGUUUGAUUCCCGCUCAAGAGACCAAUAAUAAUGGCGAAUAUAAAACAUCGUGGUCCUGGGCCUCCCCCAGGAAGACUCGGCCUCAAAUGAGUACCUGGUGGACAAAACUUGCCCCAAAAGUCUAUUAAGGCUAUAGGGGUAUCUUUAUCUUUUGUUUGUGUUUGGGUCCAACGGGAGUGUAUUGCUUACUUGGCUACCACCUGGGCAGACAUGACAUCGGCUCUUAUACCACAGUUUACAUCAGCGGCGAUUCAUCUGAACCGGACCUCGGCCUCCCCUAUGUCGACUCAGCCGUAAAUGAGUACCUUAAUCGGUGUGCAAAUCAUUGGCAUACGUGUAGACAGGCGGUCGAUUGUGGUAGUGACCACACCACUGCCUCGUAUGCUGUGUCAGCCUUAGUCGGUGCUCGCUAACAGCCUGUGAAAUCCCUAUGUGGGAGCGGCUGUCUUUUGUCUUUGUUUUUUAAAUUAAAGAGCCGGUUCUCAGAUGAUGAAAUGUAUUAGGGGAACACAUCCUACUGAUAUUGCAGCUGUUGAGAAUACCGGGGCAGAUUGCUGUAGACUUUUGGCUUGAUCCGUUUAAGGGUUUUACAUAUGCAAUACAUUUCUUUGCGGUGACAUUAAAAUUUGAAAAUAAAAAUUAGCCGGAUUUAUUUUGCAUAUUGAAAGUAGAAAUCCAUAUUAAGCUUCUCAAGCAUAGGUGCGGGAUGAAAUGUAAUUUAACUGUACAUUGUGUGGCUACAAGUCAUAUACUGUUGCCAUCCUUUAAGCCUAAAUCCAUGAAACAAAAAUCCAAAACGGAAAAAAAAACAUUUAGAUUUUCGGGGUAAGUGUUAUUUCUGUACUCUGUCAUGGAAGGAUUCAAAGCCUGGCAAAGCAAGAUUCACUUCGUUUUUAUUUUUUUCCGCCGCUGUCUCAUAUUGAUCUUGACCUUUACACUUUAACUUAUUAGUCACAAUGCCUGUCAGUUUAUCAUGUCAGCGCUGUUUGCUGUAUCUCCUAGCUCACGCGCACACAUAUAUUAUACAUAACGCCCCAUUGAAGUUGAAGGCAAUUUGCUUACAGAGGCGUGUGCACUCUACAGAGGGCUGACCUUAUCUUUAUGGAAUAUGUAAAAGGUAAAGGCGCAGCCCUGAUCUUGCCUCGUGGAAGGACCUCCACGACACACACAGAGAGAGAGUGAGUGCUCUCUCGAGAAUAGUUUGGCCCACUCUCCUACACUGGGCCACAUGUCUCGAGGCAGAAGUAAUCACAAUUGACCCCACCGUAGGUGACCUGCCCAUCGGCUAACUGCUGUGUAACCCAUUAAUACCGCUGGGUGAAAACGAAAGAUUGAAUAACCUUUUUGGUAUUCUUUGGUUCUAUCGGUAAAGUCACGUAGAUAGAAAAACAAGAAUGAAAAUAAACCUUUUUGGAUUCCACCGUUUCAACCGCCAAUGCUGGAAAAAAAAUCCAGAAUCGAACCGGCGAUCCACUGGAUUGCGAGUCCUGUGUCGCUAACCACGAGACCGUGGCAGCACACCGUGAUUAGAUCUAAAUAAAGGUGUAAACGUGCAUUAGGCACCUCCACCGGGCGCCCGCGCGCACGCCGAGGUUCCUAAUGAAUGCGCAGUCACGCUGCGCGUGAGCGCGCAUCAGCGCCACAGACUUGUCUCCACCGCAGAUCGAUCUGCUCGAGCACAGACGCAUUCCGGUAAUGCAUCAAGGCUUUCCCCGCACAAAUGUGUGUGUGUGUGUGUGUCCGCCUUCACUUCCCCUCACCCACGCUCUCUUGCCCCUGGUGAUCCCUCCCUUUGAGCGCGUCUUGUAAUCUUCACCUGGCUCCUGAUCCACCAUGGAAGGCUAACAAAGGCUACGGAAGCAACUCGCUCACCGAUGUUUGUGCGCCAAGUCGACGGGCGGUGCUCGCGGCUCUUCCAAGACGUCUGGCCAGCGCCGAUAUACUGGACCCGCUACGGUCUGUAAGUUGCCUGCAUCAGUUUUGCUGUCCAGCUCCUCCCUUGUUCAGUCCCUCACUAGCCUCUCCCGCAGAAAUCUCUCAGUGCAGGAGCCCAGACAAUUCCCUCCAUCAAUUCUGCUGCCCUGCCGCAGAGCCCAGCAGCCCCUCGUCGAGGUAAAAUAAAACAAACCCCACCACAAGUGUGGGCCGCCCCGAAAUCCUCGCCACGGCAUGAAGCUAUCCACGUGCCGACGGAGCCCGCCCAUCAUCUUUCUACGGCACGAAUGUUCCUACGCAACGCUCCUUCUUAUUGCUUCACUUUUUUGUUUAUUAUUAUUUACUCCCCCACCCACUCAGAUGACUUUAAAAUUCGCCGAGAAAGCCAGACGACGUUUUUCUCUCGCUUCUUUAUUCAAUGUUGCGGACGGCACUGCAAUGAUGGAUCUGAACAUUACAUUUAGGAGUGUAUCAAUAUAUCUAUUUAGUCAUUAACUGAACAAAUUAUUUUAUAACACUUUUCAUUAAGAUUGUUUCUCUAUCUCUCUAAUUUAGCGAUAACCGCGUUGAUGUGGCAUUCGAGCGCGGGCUUUUCAUUUCCGUUCUUGCUCUUCGGCCAGUAAUAUUUCUUUGCUUCGAAUGAAUGGCCUUAUGCAAAAAUGUGGCGACGCGCGUGGUGAUGCUGUAAACCAGGGGACAUUUCGAUCACCCUGCCGGUGUUUGCCGAUAGCUGCUGCAGUUCACGUGCGUCCUGGGUCACUGUGUUCUGGGCCACCUAGAGGUGGGGGGGGGGGGGGAAUAUGUCCCGGGCCUCACACACAAAACAAAGCCCCACAACGGGACUUUUGUAUGAAAAAUAAGAAUAGGUAUAUACCCUUUAUGGCAAUACAUCAGGUGU